AUGUGGAGCUACCCCGCUGGCAAGAUCAUAGUCCCCACUGGAUUGCUCCAAUUGUUCAAUUCAGAAGAUGCUGAAGUUGCCUUUAUAAUUGCUCAUGAGGUAGGUUUAUUGGAUCAAUUGGCUGAUGUGUGCCUUUUGGAUUUUCUCUUGUCAAUUCAAACUAACUAUCAUUGGCCCUCUUUUAUUUUUAUAGAUUGCCCACAUCGUUGCAAGGCACGAGUGUCAGAGAGCAUCAUCUACAAGUGGCUUCCGAGACCCCUGAGGAUGCCCUUCACCCGAAGGGCGGAGAGAGAGGCAGAUCAGAUUGGAAUGAUGAUACUUGCUGCAGCCGGUUUUGAUCCUCUCAUAGCCCCACUGACCUUUAAGAAGCUAGGAGAUAGUAAUAGAAGAUUCUUCUCUACUCAUCCUUCAAAUAAGAAAAGAUCACAGCUUUUAUCUGAACCUAAGAUCAUGGAGGCAGCCCUAGAGUUAUAUAGAGUACACAGAGAAUCUAAUCCCGAUACUCAAGGUUCUCUCUAA
rnacentral:rRNA from 1 species